ACGCGGAUACAUCCCGGAGUAGCAUUUCGUUGCUGGUGGCUAACCCCGGUCACCCGCGGGACGCACGUUGGGAGAUUUGCUAUUUUGGUGGUUUAAUGUUGGUUAAUUUGCUAAAGGGCGUUGUUAAAGGUUAGUUAAAACCCCGGGUUUCUGUUUGAGGGGACCAGAGCUUCACUGGCGCUUGGAGCGGCGUCACAAAUCAACAGAACAGCGGAAGAAAGGUACGGAGAUAUGUCCUCCUCCCACUACUCCUCUUCACGUAGCUCAUCACGAGCCACUGACUGUAAAGUCUAUGUGGGGGACCUGGGCAAUGGUGCUGCCAAGGGAGAGCUGGAGCGAGCAUUCAGUUAUUAUGGUCCACUGAGAAGUGUUUGGGUGGCGAGGAACCCACCUGGCUUUGCUUUUGUGGAGUUUGAGGACCCCAGAGAUGCAGAAGAUGCUGUGAAAGGCAUGGAUGGAAAGGUCCUUUGUGGCUCCCGUGUUCGUGUGGAGUUGUCAACGGGCCUCUCCAGGAAAGGCCGUGGGCGCCCCAGCCGACGCCAGUUUGACCCCAAUGAUCGUUGUUAUCAGUGUGGAGACCGAGGCCAUUACGCAUACGACUGCUACCGCUUCAGCAAGAGAGGCCGUCGCAGCAGGUCCCGCUCUCAUUCACGCUCUCGCUCCAGAUCUAGGUCCCGUGGGCGUCGUUAUCACUCUCACUCCCGCAGCCGUAGCCACAGCAGGAGCCGUCGCAGAUCUCCAUCUUACUCCCGACGCAGGAGCAGGUCUGGCUCUCCAGCCCGUUCCAAGUCCAGGACUUCUGUGAGAAGCCGCUCCAGGUCUCGCUCUCGUUCUGGCUCUGCUCCCAAGAGACGCUCUUUCUCUCGAUCCCGCUCACGAACUCCACCAGCCAACCACAAGAGGAGCAGCGUGUGGUGGGAGCUGAGCACUACACUGACACUGCAGCUGAUCCCAGGCCCAGGGUCUGCUAGCUGGCGGUGUGUACGUCCUGCAGGAGGGUGACUAAGCGCUGAGCUGAGAUCAGCCUUCGCCUGCAUCUGGUGUUAGACAGCGAGACAGAGGUCAACCUACCGACCGAACCCUCCCUGCAGUGAAUGGGUGAUCGCCUGUUCAACCGACGCACACGCUCAGACGAGAUCAGACCGCGCACACAUACAGUUGUUCUACUAGAGCCAGCCAGCCAGCCAGCCAGCCUUCAGAUCUACCAGAGGGCUGACCCACACAGAUCAGAGUUCGACCUCUACCUUUUUAAUGCAUUACCUAUCUACCAGACCCCCUACCUACCUACCAGAGUUCUUCAGCCUCUGACUUAGCUUCUGAAAGAGAAAUGAGCUGACGAGAGAUCAGUCUUCAAGAGCCUCCCAGCGCAGUGUCUCUCCAAGUUGUAGUCAUCCGUCCUUUCAUCCUUCGCUUCUCUGUACUUGUUGUUUCUGCCACUGUCUCCAAAGUCGUUCCCGUUCAGCAACUCCCCACCGAAGCGCUACGCCAGCAGCAGUCUGAGUGAUGAAGCCCAUUACAUGCACACAAGCUGCAAACACUCUCCCUUACAGACAGACCCUUGUCCCCCCGCAUAAUGUCUGCUUUCACAGCCCCACCUACAACUGGUUUUGUUUUUUUGUACUUAUCUGUCAAUGAAGUUUAAUUUUCUCUGCACUGCACGUUCCUGCAGCCUCAGAUUGUUAAAACUUUGGUCAGUUCAGCAGACAGAAAUCAGUUUCUGUUGAACACGGAUUGUUUUAAAUGUUGUCCUGCUGCUUACACAAGUCAUCUUUCUCAUAAGUGUAAAACACAGAAACUGUGUGGAGGUAAUACUGAAUGUUGCAGUUGAGUUUUAGCAGUGGUUUUGACCUGCUGUUUAGUAAUAUGCAGGUGAAGAUUAUCCUGUUGUUGCAGGUGAGAACAUUGUAUUGAUAAACUGCUUUUAUCACUGAUGCUUAAAUGUGUGAUCCUUGAGAUUUUUUUCCCUUGAGAGAGUAGGAUUUUUUUUUUUCCACUCAAUAUUAUGAUUUGUGAGUUACAAUACUGUUUUUCCACUCACAGUGACAUAAAUUGACACUUACUGGCCUGCAUGCCUUUGAAUAUUACGUCACAUUCCUACUGUUUGUUUUUGUGCUGCACUGUCCUUUUUACAAACCCUCAUCAGCUUCCCUGCUGAAAUAUAUAUAUAUGAUUUUUUUUUUCGUGUGUAGAGAUUUCAUUUCUUCCUCUGACUUUGAUUUUAAAAUAAAACAGUGCUGAAGUUUGAGUUCUGUAAGGGCUGCUUUAACUGUUUGGUUCUGUUUCUGGCUUCUGUGGUAAGGCAGUGACAGUUUUAUUUUUGAAUAAACCUUCAACAUAC